rnacentral:RNase_P_RNA from 1 species
GGAGUCGUUCAGACGGCCGCGUCUGCGCGUUUUAUGGAACGGGCGGAUGAGGAAAGUCCGGACACCAAGGACAAGGGCGCUGGGUAACUCCCAGGGAGAGCGAUCUCACAGACAGCGCAACAGAAAGCAAACCGCCGAUGGACCCGCUUCGAAAGGACGCGGGUAUCAGGCAAGGGUGAAACGGUGGGGUAAGAGCCUACCAGCAGGCGCGGCGACGCGCUUGGAUCGGCAAGCCUCGCCCGGUGCAAGACCGAAUAGAGGGGCUAUUGGCAGUCCUGCCAGCCCCCGGGUUAGGUCGCAAGAGGCGCAGCAGCAAUGCGCGCCCCAGAUGAAUGGCCGCCGCCCGCAGGCGCGAAAGCAAGCGCGGGAACAGAAUCCGGCUUACGACCGGCUCCCGCC